GAUGAACGCUGGCGGUAUGCCUAACACAUGCAAGUCGAACGCACCUUUAUGGUGAGUGGCGGACGGGUGAGUAACACGUGAGAAUCUGCCUCUUGGUCGGGGAUAACAGUUGGAAACGACUGCUAAUACCGGAUGAGCCGCAAGGUAAAAGAUUUAUUGCCAAGAGAAGAGCUCGCGCCUGAUUAGCUAGAUGGUGGGGUAAAAGCCUACCAUGGCGACGAUCAGUAGCUGGUCUGAGAGGAUGAGCAGCCACACUGGGACUGAGACACGGCCCAGACUCCUACGGGAGGCAGCAGUGGGGAAUUUUCCGCAAUGGGCGAAAGCCUGACGGAGCAAUACCGCGUGAGGGAGGAAGGUUCUUGGAUCGUAAACCUCAAAACUUA
rnacentral:rRNA from 1 species